CAUAAUACAACUUUCAACAACGGAUCUCUUGGCUCUCGCAUCGAUGAAGAACGCAGCGAAAUGCGAUAAGUAAUGUGAAUUGCAGAAUUCAGUGAAUCAUCGAAUCUUUGAACGCACCUUGCGCCCCUUGGUAUUCCGAGGGGCAUGCCUGUUUGAGUGUCAUUAAA
rnacentral:rRNA from 1 species